GGUGGGUCUGUUUCUAGUGCAUGUGUUUUCUGCCUGUUUGUUCAUGACUAGAUCCAUACUCAUCUA
rnacentral:pre_miRNA from 1 species